CUUCCCCCCUUUCUUGCUAUGCAUGCAACUUUUAGCUUUGCCUUUAAAAAAAAUUUCAGAAUCACUUUUUAAACAUAUAUGAUGUACUGUGUGCCAAUUGAUCACUUUAUCAAUCUAAUCUGCUAGCAGCUCUUUGAUCUUGGAUUUUAUCGUUACUUUUCCUUUAGACAUUAAAUUCUAAUCAUUAAUUAUGUAUGUGCUAUUUCUUCCCUUUUGAAGUUACAGGAUUCUUGUGGCAGG
rnacentral:misc_RNA from 1 species